rnacentral:rRNA from 1 species
UGGGGAAUUUUGGACAAUGGGGGAAACCCUGAUCCAGCCAUCCCGCGUGUGCGAUGAAGGCCUUCGGGUUGUAAAGCACUUUUGGCAGGAAAGAAACGUCAUGGGUUAAUACCCCGUGAAACUGACGGUAUCUGCAGAAUAAGCACCGGCUAACUACGUGCCAGCAGCCGCGGUAAUACGUAGGGUGCAAGCGUUAAUCGGAAUUACUGGGCGUAAAGCGUGCGCAGGCGGUUCGGAAAGAAAGAUGUGAAAUCCCAGAGCUAAACUUUGGAACUGCAUUUUUAACUACCGGGCUAGAGUGUGUCAGAGGGAGGUGGAAUUCCGCGUGUAGCAGUGAAAUGCGUAGAUAUGCGGAGGAACACCGAUGGCGAAGGCAGCCUCCUGGGAUAACACUGACGCUCAUGCACGAAAGCGUGGGGAGCAAACAGG